UUCAUUUUAAAAUUAAAAUCCCCUAAAAAGAGAAAAUGCUGUCCUUGUAACUUUGGCAGGGACUUUCAGCUUUUGUUCUCUUUGUCAGAGCAGCAAAUUUCAUCUUCUCUUUUGGAGGGAGGAGAGGAAGAACAGCAGCAUGCAGUAUACCAGGUACCAAGAAGGACCCGGAGGAAGAGGAAGAUGGGGAAGAACAAUCAGAGGGAUAAGGGAAGCCAAGUGUAUGUUACACAGGACCUUGUCCAUCAUUCAGGCAAUGCAGAGAUGUGUAUGACAUCCAUACUUCCCACAUCAUCUUAUAUCUACUUCAAUAAUUUUUCUGCCCUGUCUCAUGACAUUGUUAUCAUAUGGAUGUUACUAGAGCAUGGACAUAUCUCAUAAACUGCCACCAUGGGUCCAGUGUGCCUCCUGCCCUGAAGAAGCAGGCUAGAUGAAGAUUGGAAAGCCCUCCACUGGUUUGUACAUACUCAGAGAACAAGAGAAACACCUGCCUCCUUCCCUCCCUCUUGGGAUUUGCCAUCUCUCCUGAGAUGAGAUCUGCAGUCCUUGCUGAGUGUUACUUGGGUGGAGGCUGCUAAAGGGGGAGUGUCUCAGAAGGAUAAAGAGACCCCUGCUACUCUUCCCUUCAGAAGAGCGCAGUGAGGUCCUGAGACUACAGACAUCAGCUCUGUCAUUCAUUCUGAUUUAAUGCUUACCCAGCACGGAUGUGGGAAGAAUUGUACCUCACCUGAAAUCCAGAUGCUGAAGCCCUAAAUCCCUUUGUGACAAGCUAGAGUGAAGGCUUUUAAAGAGGUGGCUAAAAUGAAAGAGGAAUAGAGGGUGGAACUCUUACUCAGCAGGACUGGUGUCCUUAUAAGAAGAGGAAGGGUGGUCCCGGAGCUCCUUUUACUGUAUAAAGACAAAGAGAGUGUGUCCACCUGAAAGUCAGCCAUGGCUAACUGAAGCACACUCCACCCUGCGCCUUGUAGCCUCUUCAACUGUGAACAAAUAAUUUCUGAUGUAUGUUCAAUAAUGCAUUUAGAUCAUAUCUACACCCACUCCUCCUUGGAUUCCUUCUAGAUCACCUGCAGCCAUGUCUCCUUCAUUUCCUCCUUUUGAAAAAUUCAUUGAAUCCAAUGAGUGCUGUUCAAAGCUCCUGGGGGUAGGGCUACCCACUGUAGCAUGGGCCACCUACCAGGGGCCACUUCCCUGAAGAAAACUGGCAAUCUCUACUCCAGCAACCUUUAAUUGACAGUUAUCCUCAUCUAGGCCUAGGUCAUUGUGAUCACCUCUCUCCAUGAUGGGAUGUUGUCAUUUUGUGCAGACAACCACAGUUGCUGGAAGUUCAUGAGUACAACAGUGUCCAGAAGACAGUUUGACAUCAUUCCUCCCAACCUUUGGAUCUUACAGUCUUUCUAACCUCUCUUCCCUUCCUCAAUGUUCGCUAAGAUGGUGGGCAGGAAUGGGUUUGUUGUUGUUGUUGUUGGUUUUAUUUAUUUAUUUAUUUAUUUAUUUUGUUUUAGGCAGGUAUCUCUGUAGCCCAGGCUGGCCAUGGUUUCUUUCCUGGUAAUCCUCCUCCUUCUGCUUCCUGUGUCAAAUUAUAAGGAUAAGCCACCACAUCCAGCCUAAGCUUUUGUUACAGUAACUGCAGGUGACUAAUACAAGCACUUGUUGUCUACAACCAACCAGGAAGUCUAUAUCACAUGCAUAGCACAGAACCAAGAAGGAACAGACCAUGUCCGUAAGACAUUUGGAGUCCUGUGGGAAGACCGACAAGAAUACUGGCCUGAGCUCUCGUCAUGUGGUCAUGUGGUCAUGUGUAAGUGCUGCCGUGCUCCAGGGAAGAGUCUUUUAAACUGUGACAGUGGCGACAGGAGAACAGAAACGAGUAUUCUGGGAAAGCUCUGUGGGAUGAGUUAGAGGUGACUGGGAACAGGAUGAUCUGUAUCCAAAGCUCCGUUUCCCCCACCCUGCAUCUUGUAGCUGUUCCAGGGACAUUCUCUUUCCAGAAAUCCGUCUUCUACAACGUUUAGCUGUAUCUGUGCUACAGAUGCACUCUCAAGUGGCCUAAGCUAAGCUGCAGGGGGCUUUAUUAGAUCCCAUUUGCCACAGGGUGAGCCUUUGUCCCAUCUGUAUUAGGGUUCUAUUAAUUGUAUGUGGGGUGCAGCAAGAGCACUGUGUUCUAUUCAUUCAUAUAUAUAUAUAUAUAUAUAUAUAUAUAUAUAUAUAUAUAUGUCACUGUUCAGGUGUUUAUCAUAUUAAUUUAUUCAUCUCAACUCACCCAUUCAUUGGUUUCACAUAUUUAAAAGCUAGCUUCUAACUUCCUUGUACCCCUUUCAUAAACCUUGUACUUUAUGCAUAUUACACCUGGAUCUGUGACAACUGUGGAUUUCAUCAUCGAUUCCUCACUUGAGACUGAUCCCUAUCAGUGACUCAUGUACAUGUGAGGUGUGUGUGUGUGCGUGUGUGUGUGUGUGUGUGUGUGUGUGUAUGUGCAUGUGUGUGUUUGUGUUUGAGUGUAUGGGUCUCUGUGUAUGAGUGUGUAGGAAAGAGAGAGAUAUAAAGAGAUAAAGAGACACAGAGAGAAGAAAAACAGAGCCAGGGAGACAAAGAGAGAGAGAGACAGAGAAGGAGAGAGAGAGAGAGACAGAGAGAGAGAGAGAGCACACAACUCAGCUUCAUGCACUCUGAUAUGCAUGGGAAUUGAGUUAACAACUCCUGUGAAAUUAGGAGACUGGCAAGGAAAAAAAUAAAUAAAUAAAUCCCCAUUCCUGCCAACCCUUCACCAAACAUGGACUGUUCAGAAGUCCAGAUUUCCACAAGCCUUGUACCUUGACUUCCCUACUCCCUACAAAACUCAAAUUGAAAUGCAAUUACCUUUGUGAUGGUUAUAAGAGGUAGUGCCUGUAGACGAGCUUACUUAGGUCAGUGGUUCUCAACCUUCAUAAUACUGUGAACCCUCAAUAUAGUUCUUCAUGUUGCGAUGACCCCCCAACCAUAACAUUAUUUUCAUUGCCACUUAAUAGUUGUAAUUUGCCUACUGUUAUGAACUGUAAUGUAAAUAUUUGUAGAGACAGAGAUUUGCCAAGGGGGUCUCGACCCAUGGGGUUGAGAACCACUGGCUUAGGUAAUGAAGGUCAUUUAUGUUCUCAUAGGAGUGGGUAAGUUUUCACAAGAAGAUUUCUUAUAAAUAUGAUUUGGCUUCGUUUUUCUGUCUCUGAAGCAUAUGUGGUCACUUGUCCUUUCUUCUGUGUUAUGCCACAGUAUAGAGUCCCUCACCAGAUGCUAGCAUAUGCUUUUAGACUUCUCAGCUCCAGAACUAAAAAAACCUUCUCUGGUUUAUAAAUGACCUAGUCUAUGGUAUUGUCAAGGCAGGGGGAAAUUGACUAAGAAUAGAACAGGUGUUGAUAUAGCAAACAUUUGAAAUAAGUGCCUUUGGAAAUUGACAAUGUGAAAAGCAUAGAUGAAUUGUAAGGACUACACAGAGCAACCUUAUAUUUGCAUGACUGCAGCAUUAAGAGUGAUUCUGGCCGGGCGGUGGUGGCGCACGCCUUUAAUCCCAGCACUCGGGAGGCAGAGCCAGGUGGAUCUCUGUGAGUUCGAGGCCAGCCUGGGCUACCAAGCGAGUCCCAGGAAAGGUGCAAAGCUACACAGAGAAACCCUGUCUCGAAAAACGAAAAAAAAAAAAAAAAAAAGAGUGAUUCUGAUGAAGGAGGACUCAGAAGAUCAAAGCUACAGUAAAGUCAUUUGGAGGUUCCUCAAUAGUUGUGACUGGAUUGUUGAUAGAGACAGUGAAGGCCAUUCUUAUGAGAUGUGCACUAGUCCAGAAGAGACAACAUGCAUGGGUGCCUCACUCUAUGACAGCCUACUCUUUCCAGGUCGUAGUCAGUCUGUAACACCAGCAAGAUCCCUUUCCUUAUGACCUGACCGUCUUGCAACAGUUCCCGCCUCUUAAGAUUUCACUACUUAACACUGCAACAAUGGGGUAAAAUUCCAAGCACAUGAACCUCUAUGGAGUCAACUACACCCAAACAUAACAAAGUCUCUGCAGGGGGCUGGGGGUGAGCUAUCAAAAGAUGAAGUAAAAGCCAUCUUUGUUACACAAUUGCAAAGAACUUGAUAAAGUUCUGUCUAUGUCCCAUAUGGAGCUUUAUGGAAAGCAAAACUCAGGAGUGAUGAAUCAGGAUACGUGGUUCCUCAGGCAUUCAAACUGCUAUGUUAACAUGGUUACUUUAGACACAUAUAAUGAGAUCAAGAACAGAGAGAUGAUUUAAAGGUGUACAAUUAAAAUUAGAUUAGGAAAUUUGGAACCUGACUUUCUAUGGGUAAAAAAAAAAAAAAAUAUGUAUGGGAAAAAAUACUGGUGCUGCAGACCUGCCCCCAAAUGAAGGACGACCAUAGGAAAAAGAGAUUAAAGCACCAACCCCCCACUCCCUCCACUGUCUAACAGGCCCAGAGAUCUAGAAGGGUAGAAUGGUUUCUGGAGAGAAAAUCUAGAGACCUUCUAUGGGCUCAAUGCCUGGAGCCUCCUGGGGCCUGUGCUCUCCAAUCUAGCACAGUGUUCCUAAGUCACAUCUUAACUGACCCCAGGUACAAACUAACCUGUAUCACUCUGGCUGUUGAUCUAGAAGGUAGAACUGGCAAACCUUGGCAAAGUCCACAUCUUCAUAGGUCUUCAGGUUUCCAGAAUGUAAGAGCUAGAAGAGCAUAGUUAUCCUGGGUAAGAUCCAAAGGAUGCUAAUGAGGAGGAUGUCCAGACAAACACUUGCCAAAGAUUGCAAGAAGCUCCUGCAUAGUGAAACUAUUGAGAUGAUGCCACACUAAAAACCCUAGAAUGGCAAAGUUAUGAGCAUGAAGUGUCAGCCUAGGACAGCCACAGGAAUGAGACUUCAACCCUAGAGAAAUAGGUCUUAGACAUAAAGACAGAAGAGUGAGAGGGUUGGGAGUCAAGUCCAGUGUGUCCUGUUGUAAAACAUGGGGUUGAAGAAUACCUUUCUGCUUUAAACUCAAUGUUUUCCCUGUUAGGUUUUGGGAUUCCUUGGGACCAGUUACCCCUAUUUUCUUGCCUAUUGCUUUCUUUUGGAAUAUAAAUGGCUACUCUGUUCCUAUCCUGCCACUGCAUUCUGGAAGCAGAAAGUUUGAAAUCAUAGGCUCACAGCUAGCAGGAAUGUGCUUCAGGAUGAAUCAUGCUUAUGUGUUAUCUACAUCUAGCUUAGAUGAAACUCUGCACUUUGGACUUUAAACUUUAUGUUGGGAUGAAUUGAAAAUUUGGGGCUAUCAGGUGAAAUGAAUCUGCUUUGUAUGUGAGAAAAACACAAGUUUGAGGGGACCAGUGAUGGCUUGCUGUGGUUUGGAAUGUCCCCUUUAAAAUUCUGCUGAAAUUUAAUCACUGUCUUAAAAAUAUUAAGAGUCUAUCUACCUAAACAUAUUUGACUUAUGGAUGAAUGUUAUCUCAGAAAUGGGUAAGUUAUCUCUAGAGCACUGGUUCUCAGCCUUCCUUUAAUAUAGUUUCUCAAGUUGUGGCCAUAAAAUUAUUUUCAUUGCUACUUCGUAACUAAUUUUGCUACUGUUAUGAAUCAUAAUGUAAAUAUCCAUGUUUUCUGAUGGUCUUAGGUGACCCCUGUGAAAGGAUUGUUUGACUCCCCAAGGAUGUCACAACCCACAGGUUGAUAGCCACUGCUCUAGAGCGGGAUUGCUAUAAAAGUGAGUUGCCUUAUCUGUGCUGUCUUAUUUGUGGUUGCCUGCUCCCCUGUCAUGGCACAUGUAGCCAUUGCCCAAUGCUAAUACCUUUGGACUUCACAGACUCCAGAGCUAAGUCAACUUCUAUUGCUUGCAAAUGACCUAUUCUAUGCUAUUUUGCUGUACACAAAAAUGCAUUUAAGAGCCUUUGUAUAUUAUAUAGCAUAUAUCCAAAAUGGUCUUCAUACAAUGCUUUAGCUAGGUAAAUAGGUGAUGACCUUGCUUUUGAUUUUCCUUCUGGCCAAUCACAGCUGCCUUGCCCCUUCACCCACAUUGCUCUUGGAUUACAUCUUCAUCUAUAAGUUGUUUCUAGGGUCCUUAAGGGAAGACAGCCUCACACAGGUAAUUUUACACUUAAGAAUGGUUAAUAGUGCACAUGAGUUUAUGUAGAGGGGGCUGAUAUUACAUGCAACUAGUAGAAAUUAUACUUUGAAUUUUGAGUUUUGGAUUUUUAUCUGGUUAGUAAUGCCAAAUAUUAUUUUCUCUAGUGAUGUUGGACAAAGUCACAGUUCCCAGUCAAGCCACACAGUUGCCAGGUGACUCAGUAAUACUCUCCAAUGCUAAGCAACUAAGUUCAUAGGUUCUUGUCUGUUAAGUAAAUAUUUGGAUGAGGGACGGAGGGGUUUGCAGGAUUUAACUAUGUAGUCCAGGCUUACUCUGCAUUCAAAAAAUUCCCACUUCAUUCUCCUAAGUAUUGGGUUUAUAUGUGUGAGCCACCACACCAGACUAAAUACAUUUUGACCUAUGGCAUUUUCAGCAUAUGAUAAAUUUAUUGGGAUGUAUCUCCAAUAUUAAUUGAGAAUAAUUUAUCCAGUUACAAAUUGCAGAUGGACCUUGACAGUACCUACUUAUAAGUUUGUUAUAGAGACUAAGUGAAUUAAGAGCUUUGUACAAGGUCUACCAUAUACCAUAAGCCCUGAAUGAUGGCUAGUUGUUAUUAUUCAUCCUUUUCUCCCAGGUACCUAAGACAAUACCUGAGAUGCCAGUAAGGGUUUUUUAAGUGACUGAAUAAUAAAACACUGAUUUCUCCUUAGGAGACAAAAGAGAUUAAACACUAGGUAUCAUGUAGAGGUUUGCUAGAACUUGCAUGCUUAACCUCAAGUGCAACCAUUCAUUUAUUCACUCCAUGAACAGUCAUUUGGUGCUUAGUAGUAAUGAAUGUGACAGCAAACACCACAGAGUUAUAAAAAUGAAAAUGACAUAAACCUGAACUUGCAAUUUGGUAUAGCAGGGGCAUGAGGAGAUAGACACACGGAUGAUUAUAGUUAGCAGAUUAUUGUAAUUAUCAUUUGAAACCAAUAACAUAUCUGCUACUGUGUAUAGCAGGAUAGCAGGAAAGGCAGAGGGAUUCUUCAAGACUGGAUAGCAUUGGUGAGCAUUGCAGAAAGAGCCACAUCAAUAUAGACUUAAACACUAAUAAGAUGCUUGGUUAUCCAGAUGAAGAGUAUAAGAGAAUGCUUCCAAAACAAUACACAUCUGCAGACAGAAGUAAUAGAGACAUGGACAUAGCAUGGUGUACAUGCAGCCUCUGCAAAAGCCUCACUGACAUCUCAUCUCAGGCAGAGAGUGAUUGGAGUAAAAGGGAUGGAGGGCUUGACAGAAACUUGGACAGAGAGCGCUUGUAACUCAUCUUUGACAGCUUCUCAUUGCUUUUCUGUAGGGCCACAAAGACAACUGAUGAGUCUGAGGCAGAGUGUGAAAUGGGUAGAUCUUAAUGAUAAAUCCUUUUGGUGGCUGCAGGGGAAGGACAUGGGAAAUAAUUAAGGAUGUGGGAGCCAGAUUAGCCUGUCAAAUGACACAAGGAGAGAUAAAGCUCCUUCCUGGACAGUUGUGGUCAUAUAGAUCAGUUUAUGCGCAUGCGUGAGAGGUCCACAGAAUGAACACAAGGGGAGAUCUGGGGGUGCUCGAUGGCAAACUUCAAGAGGGCAUCUCAGAGACCUGGACUCUAUGCCAGUCUCUUUCCCUUAAGAAUUCUAUAAUGGAGUGUGACCAUGGGUCUUCCAAAGAAAGAUCAGGGUAGGCUGGCUUGAUAAACAUUAUUUUAUUCACAUUAGCUAAAUAGUUUCAAAGGGGGCUCAAGAAACAGAUUCGAAAUAAAGAUGUUUCCGAUGUCCUCAAUAAAUAAAAAGUAAAACUCAAAGUAAUAUAUAUA